rnacentral:rRNA from 1 species
UACGAAGGGGGCUAGCGUUGCUCGGAAUGACUGGGCGUAAAGGGCGCGUAGGCGGCCACCGCAAGUCAGUUGUGAAAGCUCUGGGCUUAACCCAGAAAGGUCAGCUGAUACUGCGGGGCUAGAGUGCAGAAGGGGCAACUGGAAUUCUCGGUGUAGCGGUGAAAUGCGUAGAUAUCGAGAGGAACACCUGCGGCGAAGGCGGGUUGCUGGGCUGACACUGACGCUGACAGCGCGAAAGCUAGGGGAGCGAACGGG